rnacentral:rRNA from 1 species
UACGUAGGCAGCAAGCGUUGUUCGGAAUUACUGGGCGUAAAGAGUGUGUAGGCGGUGCUCCAAGUCUGGUGUGAAAUCUCCCGGCUUAACUGGGAGGGUGCAUUAGAAACUGGAAUGCUAGAGGAUGGGAGAGGUAAGCGGAAUUCCUGGUGUAGCGGUGAAAUGCGUAGAUAUCAGGAGGAACACCGGUGGCGAAGGCAGGUCUCUGGGCCAUUACUGACACUGAGAAGCGAAAGCAUGGGGAGCGAACAGG